CCUACUAGCCUACGACGGGUACGGGUUGUGAGAGCAAGAGCCCGGAGAUGGAUUCUGAGACACGAAUCCAGGCCCUACGGGGUGCAGCAGGCGCGAAAACUUUACAAUGCGGGAAACCGUGAUAAGGGAAUCUCGAGUGCCAGCAUAUAAUGUUGGCUGUCCAGAUGCCUAAAAAGCAUCUGUUAGCAAGGGCCGGGCAAGACCGGUGCCAGCCGCCGCGGUAACACCGGCGGCCCGAGUGGUAACCGCUUUUAUUGGGUCUAAAGGGUCUGUAGCCGGCCAAGUAAGUCCCUUGGGAAAUCUGGCAGCUUAACUGUCAGGCUGCUAGGGGAUACUGCUAGGCUUGGGACCGGGAGAGGUGAGAGGUACCUUGGGGGUAGGGGUGAAAUCUUGUGAUCCUCGGGGGACCACCAGUGGCGAAGGCGUCUCACCAGAACGGGUCCGACGGUAAGGGACGAAAGCUAGGGGCACGAACCGGAUUAGAUACCCGGGUAGUCCUAGCCGUAAACGAUGCUCGCUAGGUGUCAGUCACGGUGCGACCGUGAUUGGUGCCGUAGGGAAGCCGUGAAGCGAGCCACCUGGGAAGUAUGGCCGCAAGGCUGAAACUUAAAGGAAUUGGCGGGGGAGCACUACAACGGGUGGAGCCUGCGGUUUAAUUGGAUUCAACGCCGGAAAUCUCACCGGGGGCGACAGCGAUAUGAAGGUCAGGCUGAAGACCUUACCCGAUUAGCUGAGAGGUGGUGCAUGGCCGUCGUCAGUUCGUACUGUGAAGCAUCCUGUUAAGUCAGGCAACGAGCGAGACCCACGUCCACAGUUGCCAGCAUACCCUCCGGGGUGAUGGGUACACUGUGGAGACC
rnacentral:rRNA from 1 species